UGACUUUUUCUCUCUUCAUCACUCACAUCGUUCACUAUAAGCUCAAGCUCAAACGGUCUCUCUCCGUUCGUCUUUGAUUUCGCCAAUGCCUGUGCCUAGUGAGUGACGCUGACUCUGGUUCGUCUCUGUUCAUCGGUGGUGUCAUUUGCUAUGGUUUUUUUUUCUCUAUUCUUUUCUUCUUUUCGGUUUGGCUUUUUUGAUAACAAGGAAUUGGAGUGAUGCGGGUUCAUGACUCGUGAAUCAACUCGAUAUCCUUAAAAUGUAUUUGCUGAUUGUCGAUUGCGAUGUGAACCCAUUUGUUCUUAUUUGCUUUCCAUUGAUUCUUGCAUUUUUUUUUUCCUGCCUUGGUUUCUUUUCUUUUUCUUGGUUUGCAAAUUUUAAUAUCUGUUAUUUUACUGAUAGAUGUUAGUUUCCUACUUGAAUUAUGGGGUUUUACCCUGCUUUGUCUUCUUUCCAAUUCGUGCAGUUUACGUGAUUUGAGUUCCAAUUGCUGUUCAUACUAUGCCUCAGUCACAUUGUUUAAUGUCCUAAGGAUUCAUUCCGAGUGAGGUUUUGAACUUUUAAGAGCUCUUUCUUUAGGAUUCCUUGUUGGGUUUUGCUUGGAGGGGUUUAAGACUGUUUAUUCAUGGCUUUGCCUCUUUUAUUGUGACCAUUUUCUGUUACAUUUACAAUCUUAUCGGAUAUUCUUAUGACCAUUCGCCUCCAGCAGAUGAAGAUAAUAGAUGAGCAUUUUAAUUGAGUUGUGAUCUCUUACUAAGAAUUGUUAAUAUUUCCUGUCUUGGUGAUUUUUAUCCAUGGGAAACACAAGACGCAUGGUCAUAUGCGUUGGUCCACGCGUAGUGCAAAUAAGCUGUGAAUUAGAAGAGAAGGUUGAAAAAUCACACAUGGGUGUUGAGCUACGUUCUAAUUCAGAGACUGAAACUGAGCAGCCUCAAGAAUAGACUACAAAUGUGAAUGCAUCAGGUAAGACCUACCUACAUAUAUUUUGUGUAAUUUUUCAUUGUACUAAAAUGGUCCGCGUAUUGAUCUCGUUUGAUAAUAUUAGUUCUGUCUUUUAAUAUUUAGAAUUUCUUGUCUAGUAGCUACCACUAGAAAAAGGAAGCGCGGCUUUAUGUGUCUAUCGGGCAUAUGGAAUCUUCCUCCUGGGAAACACAUUAUUGUCAAGUUAGGGAAGAAAAUGCAGCCCAGUGGCGGCUUUAUGUGUCUAUCGGGCAUAUGGAAUCUUCCUCCUGGGAAACACAUUAUUGUCAAGUUAGGGAAGAAAAUGCAGCCCAGUGGAGGUUUGGGGAGCUCCUCAGAACCAUUGGUAGCGAAUUGGUACCAUUGUUGACAACUUGAAACAAAUUACCAAGGAUAUGAGAAACACUAUGAUUAGGAUUGUAGAGGUCGUUAGGUUGUACUCAUAUGAAAUCCCAUUCAUGUUGUAAAUAAAUUUAACAUCAUUAUUAAUAUUUCUUUGUUGUAGUCUAAGUUUGAUUAUCUUCGUACCAGCUAUGGAAAAUUUGGUUUUACAUUCCUUUAAUUCUAAAUGGAGUUAUUGGAAAAGUGAUCUAAAAGCUCACUAUGAUAGCUCUCAAUCUUUAUCGUAUCAUUUGAAGAAUCUUUUGGAAAGAUUGAGAAGAGAUGGAAAAAUCUCGUCACUUUUUGAAGUUCAAAGGAAGGGAAGGUAUGAAUCUCGUUCCAGCAUUGUUUUAAUAUGACCUGUCGACAUUAAGUAGACUUUCAUCACCCGUUAUUGACCAUUUUGUGAUAGCCUUAUUUUUAUUAUUUUUUUUUUUAGCAGAAGCUGAGUGAUGCAAAUAAGGCAGACAGAGCAAAACAAAAGAUACAACACACCUUAGGGAAUAAAAGUUUGUCUAGAAUAACUGCAGCAAAGGUACUCUCAUGUUUUCCGUUAAAUUUUUGUGUUUCCCUAUAAGUGAUAUUUCUAUUUUGUAAUCAAUAACUUUUUUUAAAAAGAUUCUGCGGUGGUGAUAUAUCAUUGAACCUAAGGUAAAGAUGUCCUGAGAUUUGCGACUUUUCCGACAAUAUGCGUUUUAAUAGCAGUUGUCGUAGGAAGAAAACAUAGGAUUUGUUCUAGAUUGCCUCCUUAAGAUUGUCCACGUUCUUAGCACCUGCAUUGAUAUCUUGUUAUUAUUCCCUUUGCUUUGUGAUUUGGAUUUGCUAGUGAAAGCAAAAUCAUCCACAACUUGCUUCAGGUUUAUCUAGAACACAUAGCCCGCCAUCAUUAACAAAAGAGCUAUGCAGCAGCCAAAGCUAUAAAGUAACUUAUAGAUUAUGAAACUUGUACAAUUUUCUAUUAAUUUGCUAACAUGACUGCAGUUUUGUAUAUGAGAGUGAACGAAAAAACAGAAAACUACUGCAGCCCUAGAAUACCCAAUUACUAGCUGUGCCAUGUCACAUGUAUGCACACGUCCCCACAAUUGUUGAAAAGCCAUUCAAUAUAGUUCAUCUAGUGUUAACAAAUGUCAUGCGGUCUUGGCAAUGACAAUAUUGCUGCUGCAAUUUAUCAGGAAUUUAUACAAUUAUCUGAACAGAAGAUGAACAGACCAAGAAAAGAGGGCAGGCUGGAAUAAAUAGUCUAAAAUUAAAACCAAAAGUCUAACUUCCUAGUGUGUGUUUUCAUAUGGUUUCGGUAGAUGACAAGCCAUAUAACAAUCCGCAAGAAACACCUAUAAAAAGAAAGAAUGAGAUUACUUUUCAAUUUGAUAUCUUUGGACAUCUUUUCCUAUUUUACAGGAAAGUCAGUUAUGAUGACUAACCAAGUUCUGGCACAUGAUAGGAAGCAGAGUUAAGAAUUCAGCUUAAAAUUGCUCAACAAUAAAUAGUAGCAUCAUUAUUUUAUUUCAUGAUACUGAAAUGCAAGGAAGCAUGAAUGAUCUCAUAGAUCUAUAUUUGGAACUUGGAAAGAGCAAUCCCCCCAUGAAAUAAUGUUUUUCCAGUGUUGGGAAAAAAGAAACCCGGUGCAUCUGAUGCUAGGGCAUAGUCCAUGCCCGAAUGAUUUGGGGCCUCAAAAUCUAGUUGUCUUCCAACCGAGAACUUAAGGUCAAAGAAAGAGAAGGAUGAAGAGAUUCACAAGUUGAAGAAAUAUAGUUGUCUUCCAUCCAAGAAAUGAAGGUUAGGCAAUGAGAAAGAUGAAGAGAUUCACAAGUUGAAGGGAAUACUGAAAGCAACAAAAGAGCAAUUACAAAAGACAAAAUGGAGACGUGCAAGGGUUACGGGCUCAAAAAGAUGUCUACUAUUAUACAAAAUUGUCAGCAUGCAGCAGACUCGAAGUGGUCUCAUGAGAUCUGGACAAGGUAAGUAUGUCACAAGCCAUGAGGUGUGACUAAUUUCAUUGAAUGUUAAAAUAGUGAAAGGUGUUUUAUUUACUAAAUACUGAGUGAUCUAGAUAUUGGACACUAAGGGGGUUUUAAAGGGAAUAUAGGUGGGAUAGACUUGAAACAUGAGUAUGGUAUCAGGAUCGCUUCGAUGGAGCUUGGAAGUGGAAUACAAAUUUACCAUAUUGUUACUAUGUUUUUUUUGCUGUGACUAAAUCAUGUUUUGGGUUUACUUCUCUUACAUCAUGCCUUGUCCUUUUUGGUAAUUUUGAAGUAUACAAGUGAUUGCCCUUAUCAGUCACUGCUGGGUGUUGCUCCUUUUUUUUUUUUUUUUAAGAAGGUCACUGCUGAGCUCUUUUGUCCUUCUCUGUAUAGAUCUUGGGGUGUUAUAGCAUCUUUUAUAUUGAAGAGAAGUUGAAAUGUUGCCUGUUUUGGCACUUGAGAGUGGUUGAGGGACAUAGUCAAAUGCUUGGAAAUGGUCUAUGUUGAUGAAUGGGUUUAUCAGAUGACCUAAUACCAUAUGCUGAUGAACCUUACGCUACUCUAUUUUUGGCCCUCAAUGCAUUUCUUCUUCUUCUUGCUCUUAAAGGUUAGGCUUCUAUUUUCAUAAUCAAACUUCUCAAGUUUACUGGGUUGCAGCAAUGAUUGUGAUUUGUGAACUAAUUUACAGCCAUUCGAUAUUGGUUAUAGUGUUUAUAAGAUGCUUUGGCCACUCACAACUAUGUUUUUUGCAAUGAAGUGAAUGGAGCUCCUUUGUUCAUGUCUCUGCAUUUUUUUCAAGUGAUGGGAAAUGUGGCUGAUCAUGUCUUGCUCAUUUUGUUUUAACAAAUAAGCUUCUCUACGUUUUGAUAUGCUUUACAGAUUAGUUAUGAGCUCCUAUGUUCAUUUAUUUUAUUACUUUCUGUGAUCUAAGCUUCCUCUACAUCCUUCUCCAAUCCAAAUUAUUAAAGGUUUAAUUGUGCGAUGUUCAACUAGUGAUCACUCCCAUGAUAUCUUGUGCUGGUUUCACACCCAUUAUGCUUAAUCCUCUUUCCUGCACUCAUUUGCUUUGCAGGAUGAUGACCAUCAUAACCCACAAUAGAGAUCUCCAAAAAUCAGUUUAUGCUCUCCAUUGUCGAGUCAUGAGCCACACUCUAAAAGAUGGGGUUAGUGUUACCUCCAAAGGUACAUUGAUCAUUGUAGAGCCCGCAUUGUUAUAAAUGUCUUAGGUCCAGCAAAAAAAGAACAAAACAGCUUCUUGUGCCUGUUGUUGAAGAAAGCUCAUUAAAGAACUAGUAUAGUUCCCGCAUCUUCAAGAUAUGGCGAGGCUAGAAAAGAUUUUAUAGCGAUGAUAGGACCUCUUUCAUGUGCAGUCGAACAUUAUGUCCGAGCUAUAGCUAAAAUUGCUUUAGAAUGCGAAAAAGGAAAACACAGCAACAUAGUGUUUUUGUUGCAGUGAUUCUCUCACGGACAUAGGGUGUCUAUCUCUCCCUCUCUGAGCCUACCUUGUUUAAUUAUUCCUUUCUAGCAUUGGAACAGUACAAAGAGCAAUCUAAAGAGUCCAAUAACUUAUGGAUGCCGGUGAAAAAUUGACCAUUGUCCUUCAGUACAUCUAGACAAUUUUUGGAUUGCGCCAAAAAGGCGAAAGCCCAUGCUUGAGAAGUUUUCGCCUUUUUGUCGUGAUCUGUGUGACGUGAUCAAAUGGAUGAUUCAGGGGUUUCAUGGCUGUUGCGUGACGGCUAAGCAAGUUGAGCGUCAUAACUCCUGAGCACGUCAACUUCUUUUCAUUUUGAAUUUGUUGUUUUUUUGAAUCUUAUGACUUUAAGAAGUUAAUAGAUUUAGCUUUGAGAAGAUUUUGGAAUAAAGUACCCAACAGAGACGAGGAUUUCGCAUUAUUCAUCCGUUGAUGUUUUUUGGGUGGAUAUGUGAUGCGUUGUCCCGAGGGAUGUUGAGAACAUGAGGCGAUUCUCUUGUUCCAUUUCCGAUUAUUAGCAAAGCCAACAUCUUGGGAAUCAUCUAUAGCGUAAGAGCUAAAAAUAAAGAUAAAAGUAAAUAGGCGCGCGCUAUGCAAACGCAACAGACCUAAAAGAGUUUGUCAUAUAUAUUAAUUAGUCAACCUUUAUAAUGCAAUAUUUGCUUGUGGUUAUCUAACUAAUUUUGAUGACAUGUUACAGGUGUCAAAUGUUUUAGGUGUCAAAUUUUGUAAUACUACAUACAUGUGGCUUGCAUGUUGUGUUAAUAAUUUAAAAGGAUGUUAGGAAAAUGAAAGCAUGAUAUUACUUUAAAAAAAAAAUUAUGAGAACUAGAGAUGGAGUUUCACAUUAUGGUUUAGUUUCUAAGUUAUCGAUAAUUGAGUAGAAUCGACUUUAAUCUCGGACGCAUAUGCUAUGUAGAGUUGAGCUUGAGCAUGAGAUUGAGAAACAAAGUUUUGGCGUACUAACAGUACAAUAUCAAACCAUCACUUUCAACUUAAACUUUGUAUCAACAAACUACUUCAAAUGAAUUUGUAGCUCGAUUGCAAUUUUAUAGCUUUUUUAUUUUUUCCCAAAUGAAGUACCUUUUCUUAGACACUUUUAGUUCAUUGACCCACUAAAUAAUAUGCUACGACAUUCCUUGCAUGCCAACAAGAAUGACGCUAUUGGUCUUCAAAACUUCACAAAGCCUCUCAAACGUAUACAAGUCCCGUGAAAGCUUGAUUCCUGAAAUCAACUAGUAAUACAUAUGAACUUAUUUUUACUGUGUUUAAUCUAUUUGUCAAUGUAUACUAUUUAUAAGAAAUAGAUAGAAGAUGUUAACUACAUUCACUGAGAUUGAAAUACUCAAAAGGAUACAGAUGAAAGUCAAAAAUAAUUGCAUUCAUUGAGAUUGAAAUAUGAGAGAUGAUCUAUAUAUAAUAGAAAACGAUAUCAUAUGAAAAGAUACAUAAAAUCUGGUGAGAUUUGCAUUGCGAUUAAAGGAACGGGAUUAUAUGUGCAUAUUUAGUAUAUCACAUAAGUUUAUUUCUUGCACCACCAAAUGCAAACAAUUUAAUACUAAGCCAUUCACCCAAUCUUUGGCUUGUACCCUACUUGGUCCAUGAGAUUAGUAAGGUAUGAUAUGGGCGAGACAUCUUAUCUGCUCAGGAUAAGUUUCUUGGAAGUUGGAAGGAGAAACAAUAUCUUAUUACCAGAAAAUGGCCAGAUUAUUUAUAAAUCAAGUAGAUAAAGCCCCCUCCUCCUUUCCCCGCUUUCUAUCUAGUGCACUUAUGGAAGUAGGUCAAUGAAAUUUCAUUUAUGUGAAUUAACAUACGCAUAAAUACACUUUUUUGUUUCUUUUUUUUUUCACGACUUUUAUGAAAACUGGUUUUGUUCUCAAUCUAGCCUAAAUUAAGAAAUUUUUAUGUAGACAAUCGACUAAAUUAUAGUAGAAGAUAAAACUAAGACUCAACCUAGGCAUCAAAAGUUAAAUGAGUAGCAGAAAUAGACACUGUGCCCGACAUGAAUCCUUGACUAAAAGAAUGAAUUCCUAGAAGAUCGACUUCUUUAACUCCUAUUUGAAGUGGCUUUCAAUCGAAUGUAAAAAAUAGGGGAGGAUACGGAAAUACAUCAUCGACCAAUUAAUAAAGUAUUUUAGGUCUGAAGUUUGGGAGUGAAGUCAAUGUUUGAGACUUACUGUAAGGAGAUGUGAAAAGUUUUUCCGACCUGCCUAUAUCUCCUUUCCUUCUUCGUUCAUUAUACCGGUAAGCGGCUGCUGUUCUUCGGUCAUUCCUGGUGAGCAUCCGGUGCUGUGGUUAUCCUUCUAUUGGCGUCAUGAUCUCUAAUUGCAAUCAUCAUCAUCGUGUCAUCCACUUUUUUUUUUUUUAGCUCCCUUUAUAUAUCAUGAGACUACACUAACGACACAAAAAAGAAAACCCGUCUUUCAUGGGCAGUUACAUAUCUCGCUCUGCAGCUCCUUGGCGAGGCUUUUGCAUGUCCGUGUUCCUCUUAUGUUCUUGUCUUUCGGUAGUCACUGAUGUAGCAUUUGGCGAGCUCUUCUAAUAGAUUCUCUCUCUCUCUCUCACGCGUGCAUAAUGCGGCCCACUAAGGAAUAGAAGUCCAAGAAUGUAAACAGAAUAAGAAACAGAAUUCAAAUUGUUCGCAGGAUGUGAAGGUUCUGGGAUGAAUAUUCUCUUCGUAGCAUUAUAAUAGUCCAAAACGGGAGUUGAACCUCACCUUCGCAUGACUUGGGUUGUAACGUGGCCAACACCUUGCGCUUAAAUGUCACCAAUUUCUUCGAUGCUCUUGUGAUCAGGCUAUACAUGGUAAUGUCUGUGAAUUCAUUAUUCUUCUUGCAACAACAAAGUCCACUUCUUUUUAUACAGAUGCUUUUCUUUUUGCUUGCAUUGUCUAUGUUAUAGUGAAGAAGCUCCUAGCAGAAUCCUGAUACAACCGCGAUAGUCAACAUAUGUUUCUUCUGUUGCAUUCAUCCGUUGCUUCUGUUGCAUUUAGUAGAGCCUUCAGUUGCCAAAUCGAAGAAUGGCGGCCGGAAGAUUGAGGGCACUGAUGUCUAAAUCAAGUGGUAUAACUCCUAAUGAUGUUGACUCAGAACUUAACUGCUACUAUGUUCUUUGAUCACCAAUUCUCAUCACUAAAACAAGUAGGAAUUGGUUUUAUGGUUGUAAUAAGUUGUGGAUUGAUCUGAACGCACCAGAUAGUGCUAAGGACAUGAUAAUCGACAUCCUUGAAAUGAAUAAAUAAAUCAAGCAUUGUGCAAAUCCAGCCAAUUGAGGCAAGAGGAGGUUAACGUGAGUAAAGAAAAAAAUAUGAUAAUAUCACUGGUCAUUUGUUCUAUGAAGGUGUUGUGUCAUUGUGCUGGUUAUGUCUAACGCAAGAGUUGGUGGGAAGUUUCUAAGCCUUGCAUAGUUUAUUUAGAUGUGAGUGUCUACAUUUGUGUCAGGUUGAACUACUGGAAGUCCUGCUUCCCUCAUCUUCAGUACGCUUGUUCCGGCUUCGUGCUUUGGAGUUGCUUUGCUACUGAAAACUAGAUAUUCUAAUGGAAAGCUGUUGGCUGUUUGGCAAUAUGACAGAAAGCUUUCGUUGUUCUUACCAUCCUUAUUAAAGAACUUCUGAUACCUUUUCAUUCUGUUACGAAAAAUCUAGUGAACUCAACAGCUUUGGCCACUUGUAUAGUCUAAUAUAUCACCAGAUGCAAUGGCACAUGCUAAUCUGGAUUCUAGAAGAGGCGCCCUAGAAGCGAGACAAUGAAAUGCCAACCCCCUCGAGCGGGAAACAUUCCAACAUAAACAGUGAUUUAAAAUUUCACCCUGAAUGGUCAGAGCAGGACGAAUGAAAUGAAGUCUCAUUGUUUUCUUUUCCUCAACCCGACGGUUUAUCAGAGAUCUAAAUACUUGUGUACUUCGACACUAAAGACACUUAAUACGUGAUUUUCAACGACACUUCCAUAUCUCUGCAUAUGUGCAGACCUGUGGGGAAUACUCGUUCUUGUGCUGAAUAUGUUAGUUUUUUUCGACUCUUAUUGAAAUCAUCGAACAGGUGCAUAUGUACAGCUUGGGACUCCACUUUGCUUUUGUUGGAUCCCUUGGCUCGGAUUCGUGGUCAUCGGUUUCACAGCACUUUUGGGCGUGUUAGACACAGGCCCUCAUCCACAUUAGAAAGCAAUUUCCAUAAUGCUAUGCCAUUUUGUAGGUCUAACUCAAUGUAUCAAGUCACAUAUGCAAGCCACCUUUAGGCUUUUUAGGUAGGUCCACGAUAUAUUUUGCCAGCCUUGUCGAUCAGAAUGCCAAGUCUUGGGUGAUUGAUUCGGAUAUAAAAGCAUUCAUACUUGAAUGUCAAGUCUUCUAAAAGUCCGUGAUAUGUAGAGCAUCCCGUGAAUCAAAUAAGACGCGAAUUCAAAAUCUCAAAAAUUCGUUUAAGUACGAAUUUUUUCACACCGGAUGAUAUAAAUGACUGAAUGCAACCAAAAACGAUAUGACCAUUUCAAGCUCAGCAGUCUCAAAGCAUUCUAAUUAUAAAUCAGAAGUACAAAAACCACUGGAAAUUUGAGAGUAACACUUUUUCUCAGAACCAAUUUCUCUCAACACAGACAUGAAUUCCGUCCAAUACAAAAAAGCCAAACCAACUGCCAAUGCAAUAACCAAAAGCAAAUCGUAAGGAAAGAACUAGAUGUACCUGGACAUGAGUAGUGGCAUCCUGACCAAACACGAUGUCGUGCCUCAUCUGCUUCACCACCGCCUGUCUCUUGUUACUCAGCAGCCUUAUACUUGCCACCGUCAUCUUCGCUGCCGUUUUGCUGUUCAUUCCCAAAACAAAAUAACAAAAAACUCUCCAUUAAUAUGACUACAAAAAGCCCUCACCUCUUAUUUGCUAUUUACCAGAACAUAGAAAGAAAAAAGCCCACAAAGUAAACCAAUUUCACGUGGGGAUUUUAUGUUGCGUACCUUGUGAAUAGUGGCCAGCGUUUGUCUCUCCUGAUCUGACCAGGUGGGAGAGGACACAGUCGCAGAUCUCCAUCUUCUUCCUCUCGAUCUCCUCCUCCUUGGCCCUGAAAGUGGACGGAGCAGCCCUCAACAUCUCCUCGUCCUCCCUCAACAGCAAAAUAUUGCUGCUGAAGCUCAAGUUCCCCGACGAGCUCUGCAGGAUCAGCAGCUGCUGCUGCUGCUGCUGCCACCGCUGGGCCUGUUGCAAGGACUGCUGCUCGCACGCCUUCAUCAUGAUCUUCUUCUUCUUCUCUCUGAUCUUUAAGCAACAGAAACCCCGGUGACCUCUGAUAAACCAAGUGUAUAAACUUCAGUAAAGUCCCCACUAAUAAACCAAGAAUAUUCCACCAUCUUUGCUGUCCAAUACUAAUAAACCAAGUAUUUGAACUUCAGUACAGUCUGCACCAAAUGCAACCAAACCAAGUGUUCAGACUUCAGGCAUAUGGCUAGUCCACCGACGGCAAUUUACCUCAAAUGGAGCCAGGAGUUCCUCCAUCUUUCCUGGUACGCGCAUUUGUUCUUGUGCGCUGCUCUCUGCAUGCAAAACCAACGAUGAGUGCCAAAACAUCGACAGGUCUGUUAAUGCAGCCGGCACACUCUCUUCCUCCUGCAAAAACAGGAGACAUUAACAAACCCAGGGCAUUGUAUUUCACCAUUUUUGUGGCCUCACCAGAGGAAGGACGCCUAAUUACCACAUGUUGGCCCUACUCAAAUUCGAUUUGACAAAGAAAUGACCACCAAUUUUAAGAUUCACAAACAAACACAUUUUAUCCAGGUUUUUGUUUCAUUGCCCGAAGGGCUUCAAACAACAAAUUUGGCAACAUGAAAGAAGAAAAAUGAAUACCAUCUUCCCUAAGUCGCCAUCUAAUGCUGAUGAUUGUAACACUGCAAACAUGCUUUUUUAACCCAUAGCAUGAAUGGUGCUGUGCCAGUAAAAGCUUCAGCACCUCAGAUCAGAUUGUCCUUGAAAAUUGGCAAUCCAAAAAUAGAUAGCACCUUGGAUCAUCAAAUUAUGUAGGCCAGUUCAAGCUCUAAUUGAAAAUAUCCCAAAUACAAUAUUAAAGAAAUCGCACAUUCAUUGGAUAUUCUAGAGAUUCUAAGUGAACAAAUAGCACUUGUAAGUAAAGCUGACACCUCUAUUUUGACGCCCCAGUCCAAAAGACGGAUUCAUAAUAAUUUGAAAUUGACUUUUCAGAAGAUUUCAAAGGGGCGGCAUGCAUAAUAAUCAAGCCUAAUCCCCAAUUUUUUCUAGCAUGUUUCCAAAGCAGAUAACCGCAAAAUUGAGCAUUAAAUAUAGUUGCUCCCGCCUUAAUUAACCCAAACAAAAUCAUGUGAGCAAUCUGUGUCCUUUUUCGGUUUUGUUUUGGAUGAUCUUAUCUCUUAUUUUGCUAAGACUAGUAAGAUCGCAAGAACUUCCUGUGUUUGUGCAUAUACUCAUUGACAUCACUCCUAAACUUCAGACCUAUUCAAUCCACAAGAGAAAACACCUCAAAUGAGUUCACAUACCUCCAUCGGGACGAAAGACAUACAAGAAAAGGGGAUUAAGCCUGAUGUAGUAGCUUCUAACACCUUUAUUCAUGGUCGGGCUAGGACGAAGAGGACCCGACAGUGCCGUCAACCUCAUAGAGCUCUUGCGUGAGGACUCAACAUCAUCGCACUUGAACAAAGAGGAAAUUUGGGGACUCGACGGAGAAGAAGGACACUUAGAUGAAGAAUAGGAGGAUUGAUGAACAAGAAGCAGACUCGACAAACAAGAAUUAAACCAUGGAGGCAUGGAUCAGAAAGACCGAUGAAUAGGUGAGGAGAACUUGAGAAGAAAACUCCACGAAUUAGGAGAAGUGAAGAAAACUGGAGAAGAAAACUCUGUUAGGGCUUGGAAACUUGGGGCAAACCUCAAACAGAGACAUUUUUGCACACAAACCUUUUCUUUUAAGCUCUACACUGUGUAGGAGUGUGAAAUGAAUAAAAAAUGUGCCGUCAGCAUUUUCCAUUAGCCAAAUUGAACGGAGUUAACAAAAUGACUCAGUUGCACCAAAUUGACCAGUUUUAGUACUGAGUUGCACUUUCUCAACCAGUUCUAGAACUUAUGGUGCACUUAUCCCUUUAACAUUCUAUCUUCACUGUAAAUUUUGCAAAUCGCAGAAUUCAGCUUCACAAUGAUUGGCAUUAAGUAUGAAAUGGGUAAAAAGUGGAAUACAUUGUGCAUAAAAUAUGCCAAGUAAAACCAUUCGGUUCACAUAAACGAAAAAAUAUUUUUAAAUAAUAGUCUCUAAGCUAUUCUUUAUAUAUAUAUAUAUAUAUAUAUAUAUAUAUAUAUAUAUAUAUAUCCUACGAUAUGAAAUUUUUCCAAAUAUCUGUCAUAAAAACUGAAGUUCUCUCUGGUCUUCAAGCAACAGAAACCCUGGUGACCUCUGAUAAACCAAGUAUUUAAAGUUCAGUGCAGUCCCCACUGAUAAACCAAGUAUAUUCCACCAUCUUCGCCGUCAGGAGGAAUACUAAUAAACCAGGUACUUAAACUUCAGUACAGUCAACACUGAAUGCAACCAAACCAAGUGUUGCUUCAGGCAUAUGGCUAGUCUACCGACAGGAAUUUACCUCAAAUGCAGUCAGGAGUUCCUCCGUCUUUCCUGGUAUGUGCAUUUGUUCUUGUGCGCUGCUCUCUGCACGCGAAACCAACGAUGGGUGCCAAAACAUCGAUAGGUCUGUUGAUGCAGUCGGUGCACUCUCUUCCUCCUACAAAAACCGGAGACAUUAACAAACCCAGGGCAUUGUAUAUUACCAUUUUUGUGGCCUCACCAGAGGAAAUACACCUAAUUACCACAUGUUGGUCCUACUCAAAUUCGAUUUGACAAAGAACUGACUAGACCAAUUUUAAGACUCACAGACAAACGCAUUUUACCCAGGUUUUUGUUUCAUUGCCUUAAGGGCUCCAAGCAACAAAUUUGGCAACAUGAAAGAAGAAAAACGAAUACCGUCUUCCCUAAGUCGCCAUCUAAUGCUGAUGAUUGUAACAUUGAAAUUUUUUUUUUUUUUUUUAACCCAUAGCACGAAUGGUGCUGUACCAGUAAAAGCUUCAGCACCUCAAACCAGAUUGUCCUCGAAAAUUGGCACUCCAAAAAUAGAUAUCACUUUGGAUUGUCAAAUUAUGUAGGCCAGUUCAAGCUCUAAAUUGAAAAUAUCCCAAAUACAAUAUUAAAGAAACCAUAUAUUCAUUGGAUAUACAGGAGACUCUUAAGUGAAUAAAUAGCACUUUAAGUAAAGAUGACACCUUUAUUUUGACUCCCCAGUCCAAAAGAUGGAUUGACAAUAAUUUGAAAUUGACUUUUCAGAAAAUUUCGGAGGGGCAGCAUGCAUGAUAAUCAAGCCGAAUCCCCAAUUCUUUUAAGCAUGUUUCUAAAGCAGAGAACAGCAAACUUGAGCAUUAAAUAUAGUUGUUACUGCCUUAAAUAACCCACAAAAUCAUGCGAAGAAUUUGUGUCCUUUUUCUAUUUUGUUUUGGACAAUCCUAUCUCUUCUUUUGCUGAGACUACUAAGAUCGCAAGAACUUCCUGUGUUUGUGCAUAUACUCAUUGACAUCACUCCCAAACUUCAGACCUAUUUAAUCCACAAGAGAAAACACCUCAAAUGAGUUCACAUACCUCCAUCGGACAAAAGCAAAAUACAAGAAAAGGGGAUUAAGCCUCAUAUAAUGGUUUUUAAAACCUUUGUUCAAGCCGUUGGGCUAGGAUGAAGAGGACCUUACGCCGCCGUCAGCCUUACAGAGCUCUUGCGCAAGGACUCGACGUUGGCACAAGAGGAAAUUUGGGGACUUGAUGAAGAAGGACACUUGGACGAAGAAUAGGAGGAUCAAUGAACAAGAAGCAGACUCCACGAACAAGAAGUACACCAUGGAGGCAUGGACGAGAAAGACCAAUGAAGAGGCGAGGAGCACUUGAGAAGAAAACUCCACGAAUUAGGAGAAGUGAAGAAAACUCGAGAAGAAAACUCAGUUAGGUCUUGGAAAUUUGGAGCAAACCUUAAAUGGAGACAUUUUUGCACACAAAUCUUUUCUUUUAAGCUCUACACCACGUAGGACAGUGAAAUUUAUAAAAAAAAAAAAUGCGUCAAAUGCAACCAAGUAUUUAAACUUCAGUACAGUCCCCAAUGAAUGCAACCAAACCAAGUGUUCAAACUUCAGGCAUAUGGUUAGUCUACUGACGGGAAUUUACCUCAAAUGGAGCCAGGAGUUGCUCCAUCUUUCCUGGUGUGCGCAUUUGUGCUUGUGCGCUGCUUUCUGCACAUGAAACCAUCAGUGGGUGCCAAACCAUCAAUGGGUCUGUUGAUCCAGCCAGCACACUCUUUUCCUCCUGCAAAAAGGGGAGACAUUAACAAACCCUGGGCAUUGUAUAUCACCAUUUUCGUGGCCUCACUAGAGGAAGGACACCUAAUUACCACAUGUUAGCCCUACUCAAAUUUGAUUUGACAAAGAACUGACUAGACCAAUUUUAAGACUCACAAACAAACGCAUUUUAUCCAUAUUUUUGUCUCAUUGUCCGAAGGGCUCCAAGCAACAAAUUUGGCAACAUGAAAGAAGAAAACAAAUACCACCUUCCCUAAGUCUCCAUCUAAUGCUAAUGAUUGUAACACUGAAAACUUGCUUGUUUAACGCAUAGCACCAAUGGUGCUGUACCAGUAAAAGCUUCAGCACCUCAGACCAGAUUGUCCUUGAAAAUCGGCACUCCAAAAAUAGAUAACACUUUGGAUCGUCAAAUUACAUAGGCUAGAUCAAGCUCUGAAUUGAAAAUAUCCCAAAUACAAUAUUAAAGAAAUCAUACAUUCAUUGGAUAUUCUGGAGAUUCUAAGUCUACAGAAAGCACUUUGAGUAAAAAUGAAACCUUUAUUUUGACUCCCCAGUCCAAAAGAUAGAUUCAUAAUAAUUUGAAAUUGAUAUUUCAGACCAUUUCAAAGGGGCGGCAUGAUAAUCAAGCCAAAUUCCCAAUUUUUUCCAACAUGUUUCCAAAGCAGAGAACCGCAAAAUUGAGCAUCAAAUAUGGUUGCUCCUGCCUUAAUCAACCCAAACAAAAUCAUGGGAACAACCCGUGUCCAUUUUCUGUUUUGUUUUGGACAAUCCUCUCUCUUAUUUUACUAAGACUAGUAAGAUCACAAGAACUUCCUGUGUUUGUGCAUAUACUCAUUGACAUCACUCCCAAACUUCAGACCUAUGCAAUCCAUAGGAGAAAACACCUCAAAUGAGUUCACAUACCUCCAUUGGGACGAAAGCAAAAUACAAGAAAAGGGAAUUAAGCCUGAUGUAGUGGCCUGUAACACUUUCGUUUACACCAUCGGGCUAGGACGAAACGUCGCCGUUAGCCUCAUAGAGCUCUUGCACGAGGACUCGACGUCGUCGUGCUCGAACAAAGAGGAAGAUGAAAUUUGGGGAUUCGAGAAGAAAAAGCACGAAGAACAGGAGGAUCGACAAAUAAGAAGCGGACUCCAUGAACAAGAAGUACCCUAUGGAUGAGAAAGACCGAUGAAGUGAGGAGAACUUGAGAAGAAAACUCAAUUGGGGCUUGGAAAUUUGGGGCAAUACUUAAAAGGGUUGACAUUUUUGCACACAAAACCUUUUCUUUUAAGCUUUAUGCCACGUAAGAGAGAAAUGAAUAAAUGACACUUCUUGUUAGUCAAAUUAGACAAAUUUAAGUAAAAGGCUCGAUUAUACUAAAUUGCCAAAUUUUAUGACUCGAUUAUAAUUUUUUUAAAUUUAAAACUUCUAGUGCAUUUAUUCUUAUUCCUUUAAUGUGUUAUCUCCAUUGCAAAUAUUGCAAAUCACGGAAGUCAUUGUCAUAAUUAUUGGUAUUAAGUAAGAAAUGGAAAAAAAAAAAAAAAGUGAGUAUAUUCCGUAGAAAAAAUGCUAAGUCAAAAAAAAAAAAAUUAGAGAGAGAAAACAUCACAUGCAUAUACUGGUUUUUAAGUAAGUGAGACCGAGUUUAAUUCAUGUUUGUAUGAUUUUUUUAUUUUUUCAUUUUCCAGAAUUAUUAUAAAUCUGCCUAUGGUUGAAUUCAUGUUUGUAGAUGGUUUUUCUAACUCACCUUAUGACGCUUGAAUAUUUGGAUGGAGCCAUAGAAUCCCUGCUUGACCCCACGUAAUUUUGGGCAACAGAAGAUAUAUAUUUGGCAAUCAUUUGGCAAUUGGGUGGUCGAUACAUCAAUCAAACUUUCCAAUGAUCCACAGUUAUUAAGUGUCAAUUCCUUCAAAAACUUUAACUUGUCGAGGCCCUCGACAAUCCGUAACUCAGGGCUGGACGAUAUACUCAAGGACUUGAGGUUCUUUAAGUUUGACAAACCACCAAGACUUUGCAAAUGAUCACCAGAAAGUACCAACUCUUCCAACAAUUCUGACAUACCAAAAACUUGAAUAUUGAGUAUCUUAUCGCAACAUUGUAGCGAGAGAUGCCACAACUUAUUGAAGACUCUCGAUUCAAGGAUUAGUGAAGACUCAUGAGAAGAAUUUCUAUAUAUGUCGAAAUACACGAACCUUCUGAAGGAUUUACAACGUCUGAUAUCUAAUAUUUCCAACGAUUCCAACACACCAGCGAUGUGGAUCCCAUCUAGUUUUGAGCACUCACUCACAACGACCUUUUUUAGCUUCAUCAUUCUGGAUAGCUUGAAUCUGUCGAGGGGUUCACACAUAUUAACAUAAAGUUCCGUUAAAUUUGGAAGUUGAAGCCCGUCAAGUUGAAUCUCUUGCACUUGAGAUCAAAUGAGCGUUAAACCUGACAAAUUCUCAAAGUUGGACAAGAGUAGCUCGACUGAAUUGAAAUCCUCAAGGAUUAGUGUUGAUAGAGAAGAGGGACCCCGCAUGCAGUGUUGCAGGAUCAAUCCAGACAAAUGGAGUCGGUUAAGCUGAGGAAGGGAAGACAACUCAGUGGGAGCAGAGACAUGAAGGAGACACAAUCUCAACUGUUUCAGUUUGGAUAACCUCCCAAUCCACCUUAAGUCACCGGUAUGAAUUUUAUCAUGUCCACCCUUGUUAGAGCCGUCACUUAGGUCCAACUCAACCAAGUUAGUCAAGUUUGAGAGGUCCGGGACAAUCUGCAAUGAUGUAGAUAAUAUUGUCAAAUGGGUUAAACUUGCUGGGAGUGUCGGCAAUUCUUGGAUUUCAUCACACCAAUUUAACACCAGUUUUUCAAGCUUGGAAAGCAAGCCGGCUUCAAAAGGCAGUUGACCUUUCAAGUUUCCUACAACCUGAAGCACUUCCAAAUUCUCAAGCUCUCUUAUAGCACCCGGUAACUCCACUGGAACUAGAAUUGAAAGCUGCAACUCCCGUAAUGAUUUCCACUUAAAUAUGGAAUCCGGUAGUUCCUGAAUUUCAGGACACAUCAUUAAAGAGAAGUAUUCUAGCUUCUGUAGGUCCCCGAUUUCUUUAGGCAAAUGUUCAAGCUGAAAGCAAUAAUCAAGCUUUAACUCUAUCAUAUGCUGUAACUCCCCAAUAGAGCCGUCAAUCUUCCUUAAAUUGCCACAAUUAGAAAGAGUCAGCCUCUCUAAAGUUGAGGAUCUUGGUAAGUCUGGUAUUCUUGUUAUGCCACGACAAUAAUCAAGAUGAAGAACUUUCAAUCUUCUUGCCUCCUGUAAAGUUAAUGCAUUACCUAAUGGAAGAGCAGUUCAAACAUUGCUUUGAAGGACAAAGAACAGAAAUAAGCAUAUGACACACCUUUAUUAAGCUCCAGAAUUUCCCCUCGUCUGUAAAGUUAAUUGCAGAAAAUUCAAGUAUGACUACAUUAUUUAAGCGCAUAUGGGGCAGAUCGAUCGACUUAUACUUUUUAGAAGGAUAUCUCCAACAAAACCAUCUUAAUUUGGGAAAACAAUCCAUUAGGUCACCAACAAAAGUUCCAAUCCAUAAUCUAAGGAACCUCAGAUUUUCAAACUGUCUAAUCUUUUCACUUCUGAUAGGGACAUCAUGAUGGAGUUCCAUUGCUUGAACGUUGUUCUUCUACAAAUGAGAGCAAGAAAUGAGUGGGUAUCAGCAUUCUAUUUCCUCGAGGAAAAGGCAAAGAAAAGAGAAUCUAUCAGUCCUCUCUUGAAGCAUUUUACCUUCUCUGUCCUGAUUGCCUCAAGGACAUCCUCCUGAAUCCAUAACCUACUACAUUCUUCAGGAUUCAUCAGAUUUUUGUCACGAAUAAUUCCCUUUCCGAGGUCUCUAAGCUGAUCGUGCAUCAAAAACUCAUUGCCCUCUCCAAUCUUUAUCAAGGACUUGUUUUUGAGGACCUCAAUUCCAGAAAGUGGGAAAAGUCCACAAUCCUUCCACAUGUAAAUUGCGUUUGUCUUUUCCUCACCAAUGAAAAAGCAUGCAAUAUCCAGAAAAAUUUGUUGUUGCUCAAAAGUCAAUGCAUCAUAGCUAAUUUUCAACACUUUGAAAACACCCUGUGGAGGUGCUUUGUGUAACUCAUCCAAUUUUUCUUCCCAUAGUUCUUGUGUGCUAUUUUUCAGCAAUGAACCAAUUACUUCAAUAGUCAAUGGAAGUCUUCCAGUAGCAUCUACAAUUGCCUUUGAAAUUUUAUAGUGAUCAUUUGAAGGAGCGUCCUUCUCAAAUGCAUGUUUGUAGAAGAGCUGAAAUGCAUCAUCAUAACUCAUCACCUUCAUUUCAUAAGAUGACAUUUGGUACUGUGGUCUCUUGCUUUGCAAAACAUCCUUGUUUCGAGUAGUAAUUAGUACUAUAGACCCUGAAUGCAAAGUACCUUUUCCAACUAAUUUCUCCCCUUGUUCAUUGUUAUCAACAUCAUCCAGCACAAUGAGGACCUUCUUAUUGCGAAGUGUUCCUUCGAUCAUCUUCAUUAGACGUUCAGUUUCAUCAAUACUUCCUAUUCCUGCAGCAUUUCCUAUUUCAGAUAAUAAUUUCUUUUGCAAUUUAACCAAACCAUCAGCUCUUGACGAAUUUUCUCGAACAUUUUCAAGGAAGCAGCAACACUUUCCAAAUUGGGUAGAAAGUUCAUUGAACACGACCUUGGCGAGAGUCGUUUUACCGAUGCCCCCCAUGCCAUGAAUUUGAAUGAGCCGCACACCUCCAGAGUGUAUGUCUAACAGAUUUAUUACUUCUAUCACUCGAUCAUUGAUUCCAAUUAAAUGUUCAGUCACAGAUUUUUGCUUUAUCUUCAACUUAACCACAACCUCCUCAACGACCAACUUGAUUAGUUUGGCCCAGCUGUCAUGAAGGAAAACCAUUUCAAUAGGAGAAAAUUGAGAAAAAAAGAAAAAAAAAAAACAAUCUAGUAGUUAAAUUUCAUUCAUAAUACAAUUCCACUAGAGUUCGACAGAAUCUCAAAUUUUUAUGUUUGUUUCCUACUAGUUGAUGUUACUCAAUUGCAUCUGCUUAACUGCACAAUAAUUCCAUAACUAAUGGGACAUCAACAAUCAAGAUGUGCCUUCUCAAAUUUCAUAUUGAAUGUAAGGUUUUCUUAGCUAUCGCUUUUGAUAACCUAACAUUUGUCAUUUGAUAUGUUGUGCAAACCUUACGUGUACUUGAUCUUGUAAAGUUCCCAAAUAACACCAAGCAUGCAUAACACAAACAUUUGACGAGGUAGAUGGAAUCGAUCCCAAAGGACUUUGGAUUUGAUUUUUCUAGCUAAUUCUAUAACCAUAAAAAAUAUGAAUCUACAUCACUUUCAAACGUGCUUCUCAUGCACAUUGCUAGGUGCCACGUGUCGCAUUGUCUCUUGACACCUGAAAAUUGACUUGACCCCAACAUGAUUAGCAAUUUUUGAAUUCUGUUAAUCUUGUUUGUGCAAGACAAAUGUACAACUAUUUAUGCAUCGUGAAUUAGCAUCUUAUCAGUUAUAUUCAUGGGACAACCUUAGAAGUGGGACAUUAUAUGUUCAAGAAGAGAAAUAUCUGAUGUAUUGAUUGAAAGAUCAAAUUAUUAGACAGAACAUGCAUAGUACUCAAUUAUUCCACUUCAUCACCCAUUAUAUAAAAUGCCUUUUCUCCAGCAGUUCCACAUUUUUUUACACACAUAUACCCUUUAGUAUCACUAGGGGAAGUUCCACCUCAAUUGUGGUGAUAUAUCUACGUUAUUAAGUUUUUAGUAAAAGUUCUAGAAGCAUUAGAAUUUCACUAAGAGUUGCUUACUAAAUGACAGAGGUGAAAAAGGAAACAAAAUUUAUAUAGACCAUCAACGAAAGGAAAAAAAUGAGCUUUCAUUUCUAUUUUCAGUUCUUCAUUAAAAAAAGACAUAUGAUAGCACCUCUAGUGAAAUCAAGAACACUAACAAUUUUAGUAGCUCUAGCAUGAAUUUUUAUGUUUUUGAAUUCUCUCCUCCUACCCGCAUCUAAUAUGUUCCUUCUAUUUGUGAAUUAUUUACUUAUUUUUUGCAAACGGGAAAAAAUAUUAUGGAAAAAGAAGGAUCUUGGAAUGCAGCAAGCUCACCUAUCGCAUUUCUUGACUUCCCAUCCCUUUAUUGCAGCAACCUCCGUCAAAGCCUUUCUCCAGGAAUCUACUUCUUCAAUGCUCAAGUUAUCUUGGCCCUGCAAAAUGAGAAUGGCAUCACGAUAUAACUGGGUUUUCAUCUUAACAUCUUUAGGUUCCACAUCGAAGAAAAUAGGUAGGAUCUCUUUAUUCCCAUUUGACUUGGAGGUGUUCUCCAUAAUCUGCGUGAGUUCACGGAGACACCAUUUGCUCGAAGCGUAGGUUGGAGAGAAGAUGGGGAUGUAGAUCCUAGAGUUGUCGAUCGCUCUCUGGAGCGCUCCGUCAAUUCUUUCACCAACAUGGAGGUUUUCACUGUCUUGAAAGACGCGGAUACCAGUAUCGGCCAAGUUGUGGUAGAGGAAGUCAGUAAAUCUAUUACGAGUGUCAGGUCCUCUGAAGUUCAAGAACACUUGAUGCUCGCAUUCUGAUGAUGCUUCUGCCUCUGAGCUCUCCAUUUUAACUUUAGCUUUAGUAGCUCUCUCCCUCGUGUGUGAACAAGAGAGGCCUUUGCCCUUGGCUGAC
rnacentral:lncRNA from 1 species